GACGAACGCUGGCGGCGUGCUUAACACAUGCAAGUCGAACGGAAAGGCCCUUCAGGGUACUCGAGUGGCGAACGGGUGAGUAACACGUGGGUGAUCUGCCCUGCACUUUGGGAUAAGCCUGGGAAACUGGGUCUAAUACCGAAUAGGACCACGCGCUUCAUGGUGUGUGGUGGAAAGCUUUUGCGGUGUGGGAUGGGCCCGCGGCCUAUCAGCUUGUUGGUGGGGUAAUGGCCUACCAAGGCGACGACGGGUAGCCGGCCUGAGAGGGUGACCGGCCACACUGGGACUGAGAUACGGCCCAGACUCCUACGGGAGGCAGCAGUGGGGAAUAUUGCACAAUGGGCGCAAGCCUGAUGCAGCGACGCCGCGUGAGGGAUGACGGCCUUCGGGUUGUAAACCUCUUUCAAUAGGGACGAAGCGCAAGUGACGGUACCUAUAGAAGAAGCACCGGCCAACUACGUG
rnacentral:rRNA from 1 species